rnacentral:rRNA from 1 species
CCUACGGGGGGCAGCAGUGAGGAAUAUUGGUCAAUGGGCGGAAGCCUGAACCAGCCAAGUAGCGUGCAGGAUGACGGCCCUACGGGUUUUAAACUGCUUUUAUACGGGAAUAACGCGCCUUAUGUGUAGGGCUUUGCAUGUACCUUAUGACUAAGGACCGGCUAAUUCCGUGCCAGCAGCCGCGGUAAUACGGAGGGUCCGUGCGUUAUCCGGAUUUAUUGGGUUGAAAGGGAGUGCAGGCCGCAGGCCAGGCGUGCUGUGAAAUGUCCGGGCUCAACCCGGGCCUUGCAGCGCGAACUGGCGUGCUGGAGUCCGCGGAAAGCAGGCGGAAUUCGUCGUGUAGCGGUGAAAUGCUUAGAUAUGACGAAGAACCCCGGUUGCGAAGGCAGCUUGCUGCAGCGGAACUGACGCUGAUGCUCGAAAGCGCGGGUAUCGAACAGGAUUAGAUACCCGAGUAGUC